rnacentral:sRNA from 2 species
AGGUUGGUUAAUUGCACUUGGUUAAGAGCCACUAUUUCUUGUAUAAAUUUAGUGCAUAUCAAAAUAACUAGUGGUUCAAAUAUAGUCUUCAAAGUCAAAAAUCAAAUCUGCAUAUUUUCCCAUAUAGAAUCAAUUUGUAACGGUAGGCCCCCGCUUAUAAGUAUAGGUAUUGGGCGCGGCUGGCAGGAAGUUUUGGCCUAAGUGGUUUGUGCUGUACUGCCCGGCUGGUGCCUGAUCAUUACACAAAUAUCGUUAGAGAAGACAAGUAUACUCACUUACUAUACUUACUUCUCAUUUUUGAGCGCACGUAACAAGCUCACCACGAUCUGUUAUAAGUAUAAACUUCUUGAAUUCACUGUACUCAACAGAAUCAGUUCAUUGAAAGACGCAAUAUCAUAGAAUAUCAUCAACAUAGAAGAAUAUAUAAUUUUAGAGUCACUGGGGC